GGGAGAUGCUUAGUUCUUACAAGGCAUGAAUUCAUUUUAUGAUAUGUGCAUGUAGUUGAGGCACAUAUUAAGGUUGAUUGACAUUUGAUCAAACUCAACAUUAUUGCAAUUUUACAAGAGUUACACUCUUAUAUCCAAAGUUUAUAAGAGAUUCUUUUAUUAUCAGACAGAAAGAAAUUGAGUCUGAUUCUACCGAUCUUCAAUGUCAAAAUUUGAUAACAAUGUUGUGAUUUUUGUGUUCCAUUCCAAAGCUGAAUGCCUUUAAGGAUCUUUGGAACUUCCACUGCAAUUUUGUAAUAAACUAAUUGAUUCAUAUCAAUUUGUGUUAAGUGGCAUUAGUAAGAGUGCUACUUUUGUAACAUCUUUUGUGAAAAAAUUAUAAGAGGGCCUAGGUCCGCAAGGGCACAUAAGCUUGAAUUUUAGUCUAGUGCUGAAAAUUAUAUUUUAAGAGUCGAUUAGGGAGUUUUUAACACAUGAAUAUUUGCCGACAAGUUGAAAAUGCAUUUUUAUGAAAAAAAUAAAAGAAAAAUAAAAUAAAAAAGAAAAAAGAAAAACAAGAGAGAAAAGAAAAUAAUAAAUCUCCAGCCCAUCCCUUAAGUUCGGCCCUAUUCUGAGGGCGACGUUUUGAAGCCGUUUGUGGCCUUUGCUCACUCACUGAUGAUGCCCACAGCUGAAUCAGGUCGUUUUGUAUCGAAUUGAAUUCUAGAUAUGAUUUCAGUUCAUUCCUGCUUUGCCCUCUCGCUUUUUUCAGAGUUGCACUGCCGUUGAUUGCGCUGUGGGGGAGGAAUCGAGUUUGCGAGGAAGGUGUUCGAUGAAAUGACGAAGCUGGACUCUGUUUCGAGAAGUACCUGUUCACGAUAGAGAUAAUUGACGACUCGGCAGUGGCGACCUCAAGCUUUGGAUUGGUGAUCGAGCGAAAGCAAGUCUCUCAAAGAUUGAUUCCAGAGAAGCUCGCUGAACUUGCUCGACAACGCCAUGAUCGUGCCUGCGACGUCUCGCCCAGGGAUAUUUCAGGGGCACUAGUUGUCGAUUAUCACUGGCGCUGCUCGUUUCCCAUGAAUUCAAGCUCCAGCAUGGUUCGUCAUUCUCGGUCAUGAUGACACAUACUUGAAGCACAUGGAGCAAGAAAUCUUCGAUCAAUUCAUGAAGCUAAGUUGUCAUGUCAUUCGAAUCGUUUGAAUUAGGAACUCUCUAGGGCGUCAAAGUCCAUAAAAGCAGGUCCCAAAGCCGGCACUCUGGAAUAGGCAGUUGAAGCGUUGAAAAGGGAAACAAAUUGAUGACGAUGCCAAAAAGAAAAGUUAAGUUCUAGGAUGGAGAGUGAUUUGGAGGAAAAAAUCAUAUCUUAUUCAGCGAAAAUUGUGAUGUCAAGAAGUGCUGAGGGACAAAGUGGCCAAAUUUGAAGCGGGUUUGUAUUCCAUGCUCUCUAACGCUCUUCCGUUUCAUGUUAGAGAAUGAGUUGAAGUUGGAAUAAUAUGAAGAAUUCAAGAUUUCUUUGAAACCUCUUUUUUCAAUGGGGUGAACACCGACUUGAAUGCUAUCAUGAUGGAUUGACGAAUAUCCACGAUGAAUGAAUAUGAGAUGGAAGGGGAUGAUGUUCUUGCAGUCGAACGACGAACUGUUUGAUUGAUUUCUCUAGUAAAUUCGAGAAAUAAUGCUUUUCAUGAA